CCUGCCCCAGCACUGCCCAGCGCACCCCUCCUGCCCCCAACACCUCCCUGUUGGGACAGCAGCACUGUGGGUUCAGCUCCCUGCCGCUUUCCCUCCCUCACCUCUCCACCACCUCACCUGCCCAAGGCCCCGCUGGAAGCUGCCGGGAUCUCAGGGAGUGGGGACAUUGCUACCUUGGCGAGGCCAAGAUGUUUGGGGGAAAGCUGUGAAGUGUCUUGCCAUCAUGAAUAGUUCACACAAACGAAAAGCCUUUUGUUUCUUUAGAGGGGAAAAACGUGAUGCACCGUCGAAUUAAAAACUGCAGCUACAGACAGUGAUGGAAUAAUUCCUAUUCCAGUGUUCAUGACAGAGAGCAGCUCCCCAAAAUUCUGAUGUACAACCUUGGAUCCUCCUGGGCUCACAGACACACAGCUGGCACCAAGCUGGAGGCUGGCUGACAACACAGUGGGACAAACACUGCACCAAAGCACUUACUUGCAAGAUGCGCAGCUUUACAUGGAUCCAUCCUAUGUGAUGGGUCUUUCCCCACAGCAUUUCACCUCCUUGAGACAAAUGAGUAACUGAUUGUUUCAGCUUCUAUUUAACAUUUUUGCUCCUCCUAGAAGUCCCUUGCCCUCCACCAUGAGGACUUCUAUUGACAGCCUGGCCACAUACCCGUUCCACAUUCAGAGAUAAGAGGGCUACACUGAACCCAAGUUUUAGGUUGUUGGGGCCGGUUGUUUGGAUUUUUUUUCAUCUUUCAGACUUUGAGCCAAGUUUGUGAUGGAGGCAUUUGACUCAUCGUUUCUAACAUUUUAGUCUCCCAACAGUAACGCACGUUAAUCUUGGACUCGUUCUGGCAGUAAACGUAACGUGACUCCUCGGGGCUACUGAGCCUUGCGACCGUUCCAGCAACCAUCAAAGGGGAGCUGGAGUUCUGGGAAAAACACCGACUGGCAGCAUUUCGCCCCGCACGUCCUCCUGCCAGUGGCGGGAGCCCGACAGCUUCAUCCACAAGGCCAGGGAACGGCCGGGGUCAGAGGCCACCUGAGUCAGCCAUAUCCAGCAAGCGCUUUGCUAAACCUCUUCCUGUGAGUCCCUUAACACCUUCUGUUCAGUGUUGCUGGCUAUGGAAGGCGAGGGCACCGCUCCACACCUGAUCUCUGCACGGGUUAGGCUUCAACAACGAUUUCUCAACUGUUUCCCAAUUGUCUGCCUGCCCUGUGGGUCAUCACACCUCCCACCUAGGCUGCUGCACAUACUUUCUGCCAGCCGUUAUACAUACAAGAGGCAGAAAGAAAACUCUCCAAGAGAGCCUCCACAGGCCUUAGAGAGCAUGAUGUACUCACACAGGCAUCCUGCUGAAUGCACUGCAGGAUGUGCUUGGCUGGAAUCAGGAAGUCUAUGAGGUAGCGCAGUCCAUCCCCACGGUACGUCUUCUCCACCACAUCAAAAACUUGGCACAGAACAGUGGCUGCGGUAGCCUCAAACGGAGGGUAGAGUGUUGAUAACGUGCUCUGAAUGCAGCCGUCCAGCGACUCCGAGUCCUGCCGAGAGACAAAGCGUUAGUGGUACCACGGCACGAUCCGCGCCGGCGCCCCGACGAGCCCUCCGCCCAGGAGAGCAGCCAUCUCCAAACGCAGGAGGAGCGGAGAUCAAAGGAGCAAAGCGCUGUCCUUUCCAGCUCCUCUUGGCACCAGGGAUUCCAGGUAAACACUGGAAAGCUCUCCCAAAACGGGAGUGGAGUGCUCGCAGAGUGUGCUGUGCACAGCAGCGAGAAUUCCCAGCUUUUGCUUACGCAGCAAGUCCUUCUCCUGCCUGCGCGGGGUGGGGCGGCUGUUAGACCACACCGCGGCACGUGAGCGCGUGCGGGCGAGCCAGUCAUGGGGUGGGCGCAUCGGCGGGACCCGAGUCCUGGGUACCCGGGGCUGGAGAUGCUGCCCAGCACUUGGGUACGUUACAUCCCAGAGUUACAGCUCCCCAGUGGGCUGAGCGGAGCUGCAGGGACAACAGGUUGGGCUGAAGCUCCUGAGCCUGCCGCGCUCUGGAGUCCCAGCACAGGGUGAGUUCGGAGCGCUUGGUCCCGAGGAAAGCCGCUCACCAGUGAGAUUCCUCAUUAUCCAAAGCUGUUUGCCUCUCAUGAAAGGCUCCACUCCAGGAGCCAGGAAUGUUCUGCACUGAGAGAUGCCUCCCAACAGGAUUCACAGACUGCACGUGAACAGUGGUCCCUGAGCACACACAUCAAUACGUGGGAUGCCCAUUUCCAGCUCAUAGAUCAGAGGCAAUGGCUUCCCUGAAUGCACCUUCAUUUGGAAGAACCUGCCAGCCAGAGCCUGCCCACGGUGUCAGGACCAAUUCCAGUGCCAGAGGCCAAAAUCUGAGUUAUUGCAUGGGUGUAAAUCAAGAGGGCUUGCCAAAAAGUAACAAUAAAAAAAAUAAAGCUGUACAUAUCUGGAGAGAGGAUCAGGAUCCCUCCUUUGCUUUCUAUUUCAGAGGGGAUCCCUUGGGCUAACUUACAGCCAGUGGGAGUAAGUUUUGCUACAAAACCAAAUGAAAGUUUACUCAGGUGUCUGGCCAGGUCUUCAUCUGAUCUAAAUCCACCUCCUUUCACUAGAGACAAGAAAAGCAUUUCAGCCACUUGGCCCUACAGCCUCCUGCAGAACAGGAACAGCUGCAUGGACAUGCCUGAAAACAUACCUCAGUCCCACAGCAAGAUGGGGAGAGAAAGUUAAACAAAGCAGUGCCACAACAGCUUACACCACCACCGGGGAGCAGUAGGGCGAGGGGAUCAGGAGGAAACAAAACUGGUUUGCUUCUUCCACUCCACGGCAGCACAGGUUCAUCGCUCCAGAUACCUCCACUGGCCUGAGAAAAUGCAACAGUCUCAGAGAAAGCCUGAACCGACCUGCAGCCCGAGCAGAGAUGAUGCUCCUCACACGAGCCUUCCCACCUCUCACAGCUCAACAAUCUCCAAGUUCUUCCUUUAGAGGGUUGGAUGUUUUAAGCUUAAUAUAAACUCCCUGCUCUGUUGUAGGACAGCCUGUGGGACUGCACAGGAGAGGUGGGGACACCCAGGAGAUGCCUCCACAAUUCCUGCCUGCACCGAGCUGGCAGAACACGUGUGACAGGCAAACCACACGCUGCCUGUGGCACAGCACUGCUUCCUUACCUCUUCUGCUGUUUCUCCUGGUGGCAGCAACAAGCAAGGCUAGAUGGCAGCAGGCUCCUAAAGUGUUCACACCUUUUCUGAGAAACCAGCUGCCUCCUGCAGUACUCCUCAAGGCCAAUGCAACCAGAUGAACAGAGGUUAAGGAGCUAUUUUUCAUAUUCACAGAAUCACAGAUUGUCCUUAGUUGGAAUUCUUAACCCAAUAUUCUUAACCCAAGGACUCCAAAAGCAGGAGCCCUACAUGCACACUUCCAAACACUGAGUGCUAGGGUGAGCAUUUAACCCCAAUCCUAAAUGGGAGGAGAAGGCUGUUUUAGACAAGUUUCUUCCCACUCAGAAAAAUAAUAACCUCUGUUGACAUCAACCUGUCCCAGCAAGUGCCUUUGGCCUUGUCAGACAAAACUAGCCUUCACACAGGUGCUCUCCCACCCAGCACCAGCUGCCUGCUUGGGCACUAUCACAGUAGCACUGCUGCUGGUAGCAUUUGACAACAAUCUCUCUCUGACCCUCCACAGCCCACAGGUUUCAAAGUACCUCCCAAAACCAGCUGGGGUUGGUUCUGUGCCAUCCUCUGUCCCCAUGCCCUGCUUGAGCAAAAUUCUUUCAGAUAUCAAUCCCUCCCCAAAAGACAUUUGUUAAGUUUACUAUUGCAAAUAAAACAAAGAAGUCAAAAUAUUUGCACAUGAGUCAGUGCAUCGCUCUAAGGUUCUCACACCAUUCCUGCUGCCUUAGCAAAGCCUUCACAAAACAAUUAUUAACACUGGCACCGGAUCAAAAAUCUUUUAUAUGGUUAAAAUAAACCAGGUCAUACAUUAUCCUUCCUUUAGUAAAAUACAGAAUAACCAUAGCCUGUAGCCAUUGCAGAGUGCAGUGCUAACAGUGCACUCCAAAGCACAGAGGCUUUAUCUCCCUCUGGCUAGACUAUACCAUGAAGCCAUGAGAGCUGUGCAGGCUUCCAAGGGAUAGAGAGAAGGCUUCAACCCCUACCAUUUGAUAGAAAGAAAUGUUUGCCCCAGUCUGCUAAUUCCACAUCAAAAGCCCCAAACAGGGAGUAAAUUCCCACAUCCCACCACGCUGCAUGUGAUUGCAGCACCAGCAUCCCUGGGCAGCUGCAGAACAAGGAUGGAUGCAGCCUCCAUGUGCAACAGGCAAUUGUGGAGGUGACACCACUUUUCAGUGCUCCCACCCACCCAGGGUGGUCACCAGGGUUAUGUCCUGCUAGUGUAGAGGGUGCAACAUGGCAAUGCCUCAGAAGUCACCUUGAAAACACAGAGGGUGGAACACGGCAGAGUUUGGAGCCUGCAACAGCAGCAGAUUCACCUCUAAUCAGGGACUCAUUAACCCAACUCACAAUCCAAGGGAUGGAAUUGCUUAUUUGUAUUAAUUAACUUCUCAGAUUGCAGAGGGGCCAGAGGAAAGGGCCUCAGCAGGGGCUGUAAGAGGCUGUUGAAUGCCAGAGCACAGCUGGGCAGCCUCACACAUCCAGCCUGCAGGCAGGGCCUGCUGCCACACACAUGGAAAAGACGUGGUUUGGAGGCACAGGGAACUCAUGCAAAGAAGAGAAGGGGAUAGUCCCCUGCAGUCCAGAGGCUGAUAAACCUGAAGUCCAGAGCCCGUCCUACCUACAAACCACAUCGGAGAACUGUAGAAUGUGUAAGGUUGGAAGGCACCACUGGAGGUCAUCUAGUCCAACCUCUCUGCUCCAGCAGGGUCCCCUAGACCAUAUUAGGGGUCCCCCAGACCACUGAAGGGUUUCCUAGAGCACGUUAGGGUCUCCCAGAGCAUGUUACUCCAGCUGGCUUUUGAGUAUCUCCAAAGAAUGAGACUCCACAAUCUCUCUGGGCAACCUAUUCCAGAGUUUCCAUCACUUAGCUCAAGCAGGCAACGCAACCUCCAGCAGGCAUGAGGAGAAACCUCCAUGACCCGGGAUGAGUGGACAGCACCUGGAGAGGAGGAGAGCAAGCUAACCCAGCAAGGAUCCAAGGGGAGAGAACUCCUACCCCAGGACACUUCCACUUCAGCCAGCCCACAGUGGCCCCCAGAGCUGGCAGAGCCCAGCACAGGAGCCUCCUGCAGAAAAGCAGCCUCCUUCAGGGACUGGAAACUUCUAGCUUCCCUGCCUCCAACACUGUUGCCACAUCCCUUUCACAGAAAAGGUCCUGGACACUUAUUCCUUUUCAGCCACUUGGCACAAACACUAGCCAGGGCGCUUUCCAAGCAAGCCAGAGAGCAUCUCCCCAAGCAAAAGAUGUCUUGGAACUCAAAUGCUUCUUUGUCAAUAGCACAGGAGGACCUGUGAACUCCAGCUCACUGCCACCACUCCACCACACCUCCCAAAAGAGAAACAUGCUUUUAAAAUAACUCCUCUAUAAAUCAAGGCGCUAAAUAAAGCCCAGGUUAAGGUCAUGUCCGGCCAAACCGGCUUUCACUGCUGCUCAGCUGGGAGCCACUGCAGGGGCUGGAGCACAGCGAGGCAAGAGGAAAGCAGCACGUGGGGAUGGGAUGGGCUCUGUGGGCUGAGCCCUGUGACAGGAACAACCCAGCGUGGUCCCACCCGGGGGGAAGGGGAGCAGGGAGAACCCAGGAGGACUUCAUAGCUGGCAGAGGGCUUAGGUCUGAACAGGGCCAGCAAUGAGUGGGGUGGGUGGGCUGCCCUCCCUCCCCUGCAUAUCAUCAGAGCCACAGAUGCUGUGAAACAAAUAAAGCAAUAAAGUUGUGGCAAAGCUCUGCUGCUCAGCCCUAAGAGCCCUUCUCCAUCACAAACUGCAGCAAUACCAGGAGUCAAGCAGAAAUGAGGUUACCAGUGCCUGGGCAGAAGCCCCAGGCCCAGACUAACAAGCAGGCAGCAGGAAGAGCAGACCAGGACCUGUUACAAACCUGCUCAGGAGACACAUCUACCUUUCCUCAUUCAAGCAGCUGCUGCAGGAUGUGAGACGAGCCUAUCAGGAGGCAUCUGGAGUAAUCAGGAGCUUCUUGGGCUUUUCUAGGUGCACAGAUUGAAUUUUCUGCCUACCUUUGUGGGCAUGGAGAGAACGACAUAGCAGCUCCAGCCACUGGGAACUCCUGUCAUGCUACAUUUCUUUCUGACUCAGGACUCAACUUUUUCCUCUUUGGGACCUGCUGCUCACCAAUUAAGUCUGAACUCUGGAGAACCUCCUACAAGUUUGGAGAACAAGAAGUCAGAGAGAUCAUCCCCAGGGCUACACACACACACUUUGCACAGCCUCAGAAUACUUUGUGCUCUUCAAGCAAGAGACAGCAACCCAAAUGGCUCAGGAUAAUGCAAGUCGGUGCAGGGAAGGGCUGCAAUGCUACUGGACCCAUCUGGGCCCAAGAAGCCUUGGCAGCAUUUUCCCUACAACUCACCCAAGCACUUCGCUAAUUUUGCCUAGAAAAUGCUGAGUCUUCCCUGCUGACAGCCCCGAUGCUGUGUGUAGAUUCCUAAAAAACAUUGUCAUGGUGAGACCAGACUAACUGUUUGACUAACCCAUGACUUAUGGAGGACAACACUCCUUUCCAGCAGGCUGGUCUGGCCCAUGUAACACACCGAGGAUUCAUCCCGCAGCAGGAAUUUAAGCUAAAGAACCUGCAGCUCUGCUCUCAGAAACCUAGACCCCAAUCCGAGCUGCCCAAGAAUGAGAACUACAUGUCCCAGAGUGCCCUGGCUAAAUGCAGAGCUUGGCAGAGCAGGGAGCAUGGCUGGGCAGUGGAGCAGAGCCCAGCAAGGCUGCGAGCACAGCGAGAACACCCAGCUCUGAGUCACCGAGUGCCUCGGCUCCCGCUCAGCAGGGAGGCCGUGCCAGGAGCUCCCACAACUUUGCCCUCCUUCUGCUGGCUGCCCGGAGCUUGGCCACGUCCUGCACGCACCCACUGUCUCCCCUCUUGCCCAGGUACCAACAGACAGUGUGAAGGCAGGAGAGAAAAGACCAGAGUCCGCAAAGGUGAGGGGAAGAGAUGACCCAGGCCUCCCACGCCCCAGACUGCAAAGUAGAAAUAACAGCAAAACUGGGAAGAGGCAGAGCUCCAAGCAGCACAACACAGAGCCUGCCCAUGGCCCCCAGCCAGCUUUGGGACUGGGGGAAAAGGAGCUCACAGCAGGCGCUGAGCAGGGCCGGGUUAGCUGGUCCCUCCGCCAGCAAAGGCUGCCGUGCUGCGCCGCUUGGCUGGGGCUGCUCAGCUCUCAGCUGACGUGAGAAACCUCAUUUCCAGUAAAAACAGACCUCUGGGCUUUCCAUGAAGCCUUUCCACUUUCUGACACAAAGCUGAAAGCCAGGCCGCUUUGCCUUUAAAAACGAGACGUUUCUCUGUUCAAAAAGGUCUUUGGCUAAAAGCAAGGCUUGUUUUUCUGACAAAAUUUGAGAUUUCCCACACCGUUGCUGCAGGGAGGAGAACCCUCCCAGCCCCAUUUCCUGAGCCCUUCUAAUCACAGCGGCAAUGAGUUCAAGAGAGAAAAAUCUUCCCAGAGCAAGUGCCAGCUCCCCCCUCUGCUGCUUGCUCUGAGGCUCACGGGGAGGCUGAGAGGAGGGCGCCUGCCUUCAGUACCCUGCCUGCCUCUGGACAAAAUAAUGCACUCUUAAGUGGUGCAGUUGUAGAGGUAGGCAUUCCCACUCCUGUACUUACAGCACCUUCCUGUGAGAUAACCAGGAAAGGCUCUACCUGCUCUUUGGCCUGUUGUUUUAGGCUUUUCAGGGAAAAAAGCAAAGCGCCCAGUUCCACUUGGGAGGCAAGUGUUUGCAGCCUCACCCAGGCCAGCUUUGCUCAAGGGCUGUACCUCCAAAAGCAAGCUGCCUUCUGCAUGCCACCAUGGCAUCCCUGGCAGAGGGCACGGCUGUAGCCUGGCUCGGCUCCCCUGCCGCUGGGGCAGGCAGGACGGCUCCGCAGCCUGUGGAUAAACCAGCUCCUACAGCCUUGCAGGGAGUGGUGCUCAGCAGACAGAGCUGGGAGAAUCAUUUCCAGAUGCCUCCCUCUGUUCUCCCAGCCCUUCUCCGUGUUGACGCGGCUGCGGCAGCCAAAGCAGCUCCUACUGGGCAGCACACGGGAUUAUCAUUCCAGGCACUGCAGGAAAACAAGCGCUUGGAAGCGAUUAACUCAUGAUCUCUCAUUUAAUUAAACAAAGGGAAAAAUGAUGUAUUUGCUUUUCAGCUCCGAGGUCCCUCUUCUGCGCAUGCUGUAGGUCUGGGCUUGCGCAGCCGGUGAAAGGCAGGCCCAGAGCUGGGCGACCUCCCUGCCAGCCCAGGCUUGGUUUGUUUUCACUCAAGGGGGACAUCCCAGAUUGCUCUGGAAGUGAAGCAUGACCUCCUGCGAGCUUCGAGCUUUGGAGCUGGUGCACAGCUACCCCUGUGCUGUCCUUAUGCUGGAGCAAAAGGCAGGGAAUAGCAGACGGCAGGGGCAGCCUGGUCCAGGUACAUCCCUGGCUCUGUGCCGUGCUGCAGGUGGCCUAACACAGACUUUAUCAUAUGGCAACAUGACCUGAGUCACCUGAGCCUGCCCUCCAGCCCAAGACCCCUGUUUAUGUGGGCCUAAUACAGCACCUUCCUCCUUACUCACCUUACUCCUCUCUACCCUUUCCUUUAGGUUUUUGUACUCCAGCUUCUCUGGAGCAGACCCUGUGUACUUUCUCCUUUGUCUGUGCAACACCCAGAACAUCAGAAAAGCUGCUGACAACUCCUGAACAGAUUAAAGAGGCCAAAGUGGGGAUGACCAACAAUCCAAGAAAGUUUAGCCAGAGAAGGGCAGAUCUGGGAAAUGGAGAUAAGCCUUUCCUCACGGGGAUGUGUCCCGCUCACAAAUGAGCUCUCAAUGGACUGAGCAGGAGGUGCAUGAGCUGCUGGACAGACUCCCAUGGAUUCUCCACAUCUUGUCAUCUUCAUAAUCGACGGUGGAUGCCAUGGAGAAACGAUCCUCUUUUAGUUAAAGAGCUCCCAGACUGAAUGUGGGAGCUAGGUAACAGUCUAUCCCUUAACAGAUGAGCUGUAGUUCCUUUUGGCCUUAAACACACUGCAUUACCAUGAGCUAACAAAAUACAAGUCCUGCUAUGUCAGAGGGGAACAGAAACUGCUCUGGAGCUGCAAUUCCAGGAGGGGCCAGCAAGAGAAGACAGUCAGUGCAGAAGAACCUUCCUUGGAGGAGAACAUCCCUGCACACCUCUGAUAUGAGAAAGGAGCCGGCAGCAGCAACUAGAUGCCACAUCUGAGGAAGAAGCUGUAAGGAAGGAUGAGCCAGAAGGACAGAGCAGGCAGCCCAGAGAUGUCCAUGGCUAUGCCAGUUCAGUCAUGGGCCACCCCAAGAAGCAUCAGUCUGUGCCCUGCAGGGAGAAGUGCUGGUUAGAGGGACCCAGAUUUACUCCAAGACUCUCCAAGCUCACUGGGUACAGAAACACAUGUGCUCAAGCUCUCCUGCCCCUGAGCAGCCAAGCCUGGGGCAGAGUUAGAUGAAACCAUUUCCCCUAUAUUUGGAUACAGCACUAAAUGCAUGCCUCCUGGAAAGCUAAGUAAAUCAGUCAGAAAUUCAUUGCUUUUACUAAACUCCUGAGUUAGAAAGGGGUGAACACAGGCUUUUAAAGCUACUCCCUUUAUAGCUUUUUUUUCCCCAAACAGAAAACAGUCUCACGUGUCCCAUUAUUUCCAUACAUAUCAAAGGAGGGUGGAGAUUUAACUAGCAAUUUCUAAAAGAUCUUUGUGCACAGAAGGGAUGUAUGCCAAAACGUGGGUGGUUAUAAGCCCAAACACAAAGGAGAAUACAUCCACAGGCAUUUUUCCCCUUGAUCCAUUAACGGGUCUGCAUACCAGCCUCCUGAGCGUAUGAGAGGGACCUUGUUCAAAAGGUAAAUGUAUUCAGCAAGAUGACAACAGACAGCAAACAACCCACAUCCUUUAACCAUGUUGGAGGCUCAGCAGCGCCGGGUUUUUGUUGGGAGGCACUGAGAUCUGACAGGCAGCCUCGGGGAAGGGAUCCUCCUGAAGGAACCUGCUCAGGAAGCCUCUGCCACGCCCAAGGCAGGCUGCAAAGCUCAAGGCGGACACCUAGCUCAGGUCACCAGAACUCCAGCAGCUUUCCUCCUCUGCACCACACAAACCACCCUGGGGCCACAGCACCACGUCCCACUGGGGGUGAUCAGAAGGCCCCAUGGAGGCUCCCCUCUACCACAUCCACCAGUGUCCAGGAGGAGCACGUGGGAGUCCUCACCUGGUCCCCACUUCUUUUCAGUUGAGCCAUUUGAUCCUGUUCAAAAAAAUGUCUGGUUGCACCAGCUGGAGCAAGGGUUCAUCCAGGGCUUCCCAGCCUGAUGGCAGAAUGGUAAAUUUGAGCAGACAGAAAGACUUUCAGAUUCAUUCUGUGCUGCUUUGAUCUUGGAAGUUUCAGCUUGGUGUCCAAUGAUGCAAAAAAUGGGAUACGUACGAAACCAGCCAGGAGCACUUACCACAAGAAAGGCCCCAUUUUUUUGUUAAUUUUUUAAUGAAAGACUAGGCCAGCCAACAGAGAUGAGGCACUCGGUGUGGCAGAGAGGUAUUAGCAUGGUCAAACCUUCAGAGUCAAUAAGGGCACAUCCACUCACUUCUCUGAGCUGCAACCCAGGUACCAGGAGUGGUGCAGAAAGUACGGAGCAUCCCAUGGCCAGAGGUGAGCAGCUUACCCCAGCAGCCUCUCCUUGCUUUAUACUGCUGUUCAGUCAGCAACACAUCUGAUCCUGGUGCUGCUACUCCCUUUUUCAGGCCUUGGAUCCAUUGAACUCUGCAGGACUGGAACAGGGGGUUCCCUCAUGGGUAGGGAGCCAGGAAUAUGAACAAAAGGUGCUCUUAUAUGAGUGCCCACGGGUGGGUUCAGUUUAUAGUUUCCACAGAAGACACCACUGUUUUAACAGAGAUUUUUUUUCCAGCACUUGGGUGCUAAAAGGGCCUGUAGCCCCUGUGAUGUGACUUCAACCCACAUUCGGCACCAAUGCUCAGGUUUAGGCUCACAGCCUGUAGGAUGGUUCAGGUUUUGAACAGAUCAGUUGCAGACAGGGUUAUGUUUGAGAUGAAACUAGAAAAUGAGGCUCCACGAGCUGAGUGGCUGUGCCUGUGCUCUAGUAUUUAGAGGCAGACAUGCUGGCUGUCAUGUCUGAAGUGACCAGUUGCAAGAUGCUGACAAGGCUCUCACAUUAUGAUCUCUUCUGCUAACAGGGUGUGCCCUCAGGCCAACUGCCCACGGGGGAAGAUGGCAGCAGCAUGGCCAGAGGGGGUUAAGCUACAGGAUGCUGGUUUGCUGAAGAUAAGUGCUGACACCCAGCACCUUGGAUGCCUGCAGCACCUCACCAUAAGCAUUUGCUGUCUGGCAUUCCCACGUGGUACUAGAACACAUUUGGUGAUUCCUGGGUGGAGAUACCUGGAUGCAGCUGGUCUGUCACCCACAUUUAGCCAUUAUUUUUAUUGCUACAAUGAGCAGCAUGUUCACCUGCCCAGUGCUUUUGGAAAGACUCUGGGUAAAAUUCAAGUUGUCAUCCCUGUUACCCCAGAGGAGGUGCUUUCAAACCGCUUCCAUGUGCUCAGGAUUAUGUGUCUGGACUUUGUCUGCUUUCCAACAUCUUACUCAUGGCUUUGGCACAGAAAUAAAGAAAGAAGAUCCCCAAUGCUUAAA